rnacentral:rRNA from 1 species
GCGAGUAAAGCAGCGAUGCGCUUAGGGAUGGGCCUGCGGCGGAUUAGGUAGUUGGUGGGGUAACGGCCUACCAAGCCGAUGAUCCGUAGGGGGCGUGAGAGCGUGGCCCCCCACACUGGCACUGAGACACGGGCCAGACUCCUACGGGAGGCAGCAGUGAGGAAUAUUGCACAAUGGGCGCAAGCCUGAUGCAGCAACGCCGCGUGAGGGACGAAGGCCUUCGGGUUGUAAACCUCUUUUCUGAGGGACGAGGAAGGACGGUACCUCAGGAAUAAGUCUCGGCUAACUACGUGCCAGCAGCCGCGGUAAAACGUAGGAGGCGAGCGUUAUCCGGAUUUACUGGGCGUAAAGCGCGCGCAGGUGGCUUCGUGAGUCGGACAUGAAAGCUCCUGGCUUAACUGGGAGAGGCUGUUCGAUACUGCGGGGCUUGAGGUUGGGAGAGGGACGCGGAAUUCCCGGUGUAGUGGUGGAAUGCGUAGAUAUCGGGAGGAACACCAGUGGCGCAAGCGGCGUCCUGGCCCACACCUGACGCUGAGGUGCGAAAGCGUGGGUAGCAAACAGGAUUAGAUACCCUGGUAGUCCACGCUGUAAACGAUGUCAACUGGGUGUCGGUAGUUUUACACUAUCGGUGCCGAAGCUAACGCG